rnacentral:rRNA from 1 species
GACGAACGCUGGCGGCGUGCUUAACACAUCCAAGUCGAACGGAAAGGCCCUGCUUUUGUGGGGUGCUCGAGUGGCGAACGGGUGAGUAACACGUGAGUAACCUGCCCUUGACUUUGGGAUAACUUCAGGAAACUGGGGCUAAUACCGGAUAGGAGCUCCUGCUGCAUGGUGGGGGUUGGAAAGUUUCGGCGGUUGGGGAUGGACUCGCGGCUUAUCAGCUUGUUGGUGGGGUAGUGGCUUACCAAGGCUUUGACGGGUAGCCGGCCUGAGAGGGUGACCGGCCACAUUGGGACUGAGAUACGGCCCAGACUCCUACGGGAGGCAGCAGUGGGGAAUAUUGCACAAUGGGCGGAAGCCUGAUGCAGCAACGCCGCGUGCGGGAUGACGGCCUUCGGGUUGUAAACCGCUUUCGACUGUGACGAAGCGUGAGUGACGGUAAUGGGUAAAGAAGCACCGGCUAACUACGUG